GCGCCGGUGGUGUAAGGCGAACACCCCGGAAAGCAGAAGAUGUGGGUUCGAGUCCCGCCUGGCGCA
rnacentral:tRNA from 1 species